rnacentral:rRNA from 1 species
GGGGAAUAUUGCACAAUGGGCGAAAGCCUGAUGCAGCAACGCCGCGUGAGUGAUGACGGUCUUCGGAUUGUAAAGCUCUGUCUUUUGGGACGAUAAUGACGGUACCAAAGGAGGAAGCCACGGCUAACUACGUGCCAGCAGCCGCGGUAAUACAUAGGUGGCAAGCGUUGUCCGGAUUUACUGGGCGUAAAGGAUGUGUAGGCGGAUACUUAAGUGAGAUGUGAAAGCCCCGGGCUCAACCGGGGGACUGCAUUGCAAACUGGGUAGCUAGAGGGCAGGAGAGGAAAGCGGAAUUCCUAGUGUAGCGGUGAAAUGCGUAGAGAUUAGGAAGAACAUCAGUGGCGAAGGCGGCUUUCUGGACUGUAACUGACGCUGAGGCAUGAAAGCGUGGGGAGCAAAC